AACGAACGCUGGCGGCAGGCUUAACACAUGCAAGUCGAACGCCCCGCAAGGGGAGUGGCAGACGGGUGAGUAACGCGUGGGAACGUACCUUUCAGUUCGGAAUAACUCAGGGAAACUUGUGCUAAUACCGGAUACGCCCGUAAGGGGAAAGAUUUAUCGCUGAAAGAUCGGCCCGCGUUGGAUUAGCUAGUUGGUGGGGUAAUGGCCUACCAAGGCGACGAUCCAUAGCUGGUCUGAGAGGAUGAUCAGCCACACUGGGACUGAGACACGGCCCAGACUCCUACGGGAGGCAGCAGUGGGGAAUAUUGGACAAUGGGCGAAAGCCUGAUCCAGCCAUGCCGCGUGAGUGAUGAAGGCCCUAGGGUUGUAAAGCUCUUUCACCGAUGAAGAUAAUGACGGUAGUCGGAGAAGAAGCCCCGGCUAACUUCGUGCCAGCCGCCGCCGUAA
rnacentral:rRNA from 1 species